UAUCCGGUAAGUAAGGCUACUACAGGGAUACGGGCUGUUGCCGCAAAGCGAUGGAGACAUCGCGCGCUGGUUUGAACAGGCCGCGUCGAAACCAAGGCGCGGCAUAAUGCAGCUUCAUCGCCCUGCAAAGUCAAAGCUCAAACGGU
rnacentral:sRNA from 1 species